rnacentral:rRNA from 1 species
UACGUAGGGAGCAAGCGUUGUCCGGAUUUACUGGGCGUAAAGGGCGCGUAGGCGGCAAAUUAAGUCAGCUGUGAAAUCUCCGAGCUUAACUCGGAACGGUCAGCUGAUACUGAUCUGCUAGAGUGCGGAAGGGGCAAUCGGAAUUCUUGGUGUAGCGGUGAAAUGCGUAGAUAUCAAGAGGAACACCUGAGGUGAAGACGGGUUGCUGGGCCGACACUGACGCUGAGUGCGCGAAAGCCAGGGGAGCAAACGGG